rnacentral:rRNA from 1 species
GAUGGACGCUGGCGGCGUGCCUAAUACAUGCAAGUCGAGCGAAUGGAUUAAGAGCUUGCUCUUAUGAAGUUAGCGGCGGACGGGUAAGUAACGCGUGGGUAACCUGCCCAUAAGACUGGGAUAACUCCGGGAAACCGGGGCUAAUACCGGAUAACAUUUUGAACCGCAUGGUUCGAAAUUGAAAGGCGGCUUCGGCUGUCACUUAUGGAUGGACCCGCGUCGCAUUAGCUAGUUGGUGAGGUAACGGCUCACCAAGGCAACGAUGCGUAGCCGACGCGAGAGGAGGAUCGGGCACACUGGGACUGAGACACGGCCCAGACUCCUACGGGAGGCAGCAGUAGGGAAUCUUCCGCAAUGGACGAAGGUCUGACGGAGCAACGCCGCGUGAGUGAUGAAGGCUUUCGGGUCGUAAAACUCUGUUGUUAGGGAAGAACAAGUGCUAGUUGAAUAAGCUGGCACCUUGACGGUACCUAACCAGAAAGCCACGGCUAACUACGUGCCAGCCGCCGCCGUAA